rnacentral:rRNA from 1 species
UACGUAGGGUGCAAGCGUUAAUCGGAAUUACUGGGCGUAAAGCGUGCGCAGGCGGUUUUGUAAGUCUGAUGUGAAAUCCCCGGGCUUAACCUGGGAAUGGCAUUUGUGACUGGAAGGCUAGAGUGUGUCAGAGGGGGGUAGAAUUCCACGUGUAGCAGUGAAAUGCGUAGAGAUGUGGAGGAACACCGAUGGCGAAGGCAGCCCCCUGGGUCAAGAUUGACGCUCAUGCACGAAAGCGUGGGGAGCAAACAGG